CAGCUUCAACCCAUUUGGUGCUGGUGCUGGUGACUUUGAACAGGCAUUGGAAAGCAGAUGUGCACUGUUCUCUGUAAUUACUUUCCGCUCUCGUCUUGCCCUUUGCUGUCUGUUUGAAAUUUAACCUUAAUAGAAUCAGAAUGGCAUUUACCCAGGGAUCAUCUCCAGAAUGCUUGGAACUCACGGAAAUAAAGGUUAGACUCUCAACCAACUUCUCCAAUCUAAUGUUUUCAUGGCUGAAAUUGUUUAAAGUGUUUUUAAUAAUAAUAACAAACAGCAAGAAGAAUUAGGAGAGCUAUGUGUUUGUUGCAAGGGUUUAAGGUAGAAGGCUUUAAAUCAAAUUGAAUAACACACCAUAUUGUAAGUUUCUUGUAGUAUAGUGCUAAAAGGCUGGUUUCAUGCAACAGGUUUCUGCUGAAGCUUUGGCAGGCAGAUUUGCAAUGGAAAGGGAAUAUUUUGUACAGGAUUAUCACUGAUCAGCCUCCAUGUACAUACUCCAGACAAAAUAUUUGUGGGCUAGCAUGCCAUAAAAUGCCCAUUUGCCAUGGUCUCAGCAACAGACCAUUACUAGAUGGGGGGGGGGGACAACUUGAAGGCAGUUGAAAUCUCAAAUCCAAAGCUUUGCUAAACUUAUACUUGUAAGACAGAAUGUGUUGUAGGGGGGUGUAUUUUCCUUCCAUCAGUGUCUCCUCACCCCCCGCAAUUCCUUUGCAUUGGUCCUAACAGGAAGGGAAAUAAGUAGGCAAGCCCCUGGGCCAAUGUACUUUCUACCCUGAUUCAGGGGAACAGGAGAGUUGGGUUCACUGGAUCUAAAGCCAUUCCUGAUCUGCCUCUGCAAUAUCACCACCCCACCCUGCCUCCCCUGGGAAGCAGCCACUGUGAAGGAACAAUGGCAGCAGUUCUUUCCAUGCAGCCUCCAAGGGUAGAUCUCCUCCACCAAUGAGGACGGAGUUCUGCAAAAUCUUAUGGCUCUGGGACAACCUUCCAUUGACCAUAAGACUGUACCCUAAAAGCAUUUCCUAGCAGUUGCUGGACUCGAUAGGCCUUUGGUCUGUUUCAGCAGGGCUCUUACGUUUUUGGUCAGACUGCUUUGGGAGUUUGGGGGAAGAAAACUUAUUUUAAUUUGCAACUUCUGCAUACCUUUGAACCCCCACCCCCUCAAUACGUAGGUGGAAACUACUUGCUCUCUUAAUUUUGGGUGGCCCACUUUGGCUCCCAAACUGGAUUUGUUAUGAGAGGUAACGAUAAAUAGAUAGCAGGUGUUCCGAUUGCCCUGGUAGACUUUGGGAAUCACAAAUGUGUCAUAUAUAGAUUAAAGGAACACUAAUUAUUUCACAGCAAGGCCUGAUACAUAAUUACUUAUGCAAGAGUCGAUAUUUGAACAGUUUAAAAGUUUAAAGUAAGCUUAAAAAGCUGGAAGCAGUGUAAAAUAUUAAAUUGCCACUAUUUUAAAACAAUGAAGCUUUUUUAAGUGUGUGUGUGUGUGUGUGUGUGUGUGUGUGUGUGUUUUACUCAUACUAAACCUUGCAAUAAACUAUCUCCAUUUGCUUUUUCAGAAAGGUAGAAAAAACUGAGUGUCUGCAUUCCAAAGAGAAUAAGUACUGGUAUUAAAAUUGUGACUUGAGACUCCUUGUAUUGCCUUGAGAGAAAACAUCCAUUUUAGUAUGAGACAGAAAAUACUCAUUUGUGGUCAACGACAUCUGGCACAUUGGAUAACUUACCUCAUUAAAAUUUUAUUCACAGGUAGGUGUUCCUGUGUGCCCAUUAUGGUAUACAAACACAUCUCCUUGCUGCCAACUGCUCAUUUUUAAGGGCUUCCUCUAGUAUAGUAGCUUACCUUAUAAACUGCGAGAACUGUUUUUCAGUUAAACAUUCAUAGAAAUAUUUAUUAUUAUAUAAAAAAACAAUUGCAUAUAUAAAAGCAGUUGAAUAAUUUCAUAUAUAAAGAAUAUUAAAAACCAUUACAUAUUCAAUGAAAAAUAAUAUUAUUUAAUCAUGUAAUAAGAACAAGAAAACAUAUAACAAGAAAACCAGAUAUAUAUUUUCCCCCUCAGAGUUCUUUAUUGCUCAUUGUCAAUGGCUUUCGUCUUGGCAAAUAUGAAGUUUGGGGGGGGGGUAUUUUCUUGUGAUCAUGUCACUGGAAAAACAAAAUGAAAAAAAUGCCUUUUCCAUUUUUUGUUGAUUCUUGUUGAAUGUCAGGUUGAAGAUGAUUACUAAGAUUUAUCUACAACAGUGAAAGAUUUAGGGAUCCAGGUGUUGUGCUUGUCAUCCCCUCAUGUAGAAGGAAAAGAUCCAAGCGAGAUGAAAUGCAGCUCAAAAGUGAACAGAUGGCAAAAACAGAUAGGCUUUGGCUCCAAGGGUCAAAGGAUGGUGCUUCAGGAAGUCAAACUACUGAUUAGGGAAUAAACAUCAAAAAGUUGAUGCCAGUGAAAGUACUCUGAGCUAUUAAUAGAGUAACAAAGUAGGGUAAGCUUUGAACAAGUUUAUGGAGUCACCAAGGAUGAUAACACUGAUUUGCAAAAAGCAGCAAUGUAGAAGUUCAUCUGAGCAUGGACAAUAGGAGUGUCAAUAGUAGUAGUGUCAAGGAGGCAGCAAAUCUUGGGUGAUUCUGAAUAUAUACCCACAGGAACUACUGUACAUAAUCAGGAAAAAUGCAGAAGAUGCCCCGCCCCCUUAAAACAAGUAGUCAGUGCUGGAAUUCUAACUCAACAAAAACGUAAGAGAGAAUCAAUGUAUUACAACAAAUUUUGUCUCCUAGCAGGUCAACAUUUGAUGUUAAGCAGCCAAGGCAGGAGAAUAUAAAUAGAAGAGGGC